UUCCACCUGAGGAGCACAAAAGACCCCAGGAGUGGAGGAAGCUGGCCUGAGGCCAACCGGAUGUAGCAGACUUGCUGGGCCCAAGGAGGGAGGUCUGGUGAUGGAGCCUCAAGUACAUAUCCUUCCAAUCCUAAGCAGCCACAGAAGACAGACACAUACAAGAAGAGUCCUUCAGCUUGCUGCCUAGCUUUGACUCUCAGACUUGGUGCCCUCGGAACUCGGAAGACUGCAGGCUGAUUGGUGAUUGGUUGCUCACUUUUAGGCAGUCUGCCUUAUGAAAUAAGCUACAAUGGAUUCGAAAGCUUUUCUGAAAAUAUUCAACAUUUAGGAGAAAGUAUUUCUAAGGAGAAAAGAUUUGCAAGGGACUUCAAAGUUUUUUUCUCAAUCCUUCAUCACUGAAGUGCUUUAGAACCUUGCUACUCAAAGUGUGGUCCCUGACCAGCAGCCGCAGUGUCAUCUCGAAGCCAGGUAAAAUGCGG
rnacentral:lncRNA from 1 species